rnacentral:rRNA from 1 species
UACGUAGGGGGCAAGCGUUGUUCGGAAUGACUGGGCGUAAAGGGUGCGUAGGCGGUAGUACAAGUUAGAAGUGAAAUACCCAGGGCUUAACUCGGGUGCUGCUUCUAAAACUGUACGACUUGAGUGCAGAAGAGGACAGUGGAACUCCAUGUGUAGCGGUGGAAUGCGUAGAUAUAUGGAAGAACACCAGUGGCGAAGGCGGCUGUCUGGUCUGCAACUGACGCUGAGGCUCGAAAGCAUGGGUAGCGAACAGG